rnacentral:rRNA from 1 species
UACAGAGGGGGCAAGCGUUGUUCGGAAUUACUGGGCGUAAGGGCGCGUAGGCGGCCUUCUAAGUCGAACGUGAAAUCCCCGGGCUCAACCCGGGAACUGCGUCCGAUACUGGAAGGCUUGAAUCCGGGAGAGGGAUGCGGAAUUCCAGGUGUAGCGGUGAAAUGCGUAGAUAUCUGGAGGAACACCGGUGGCGAAGGCGGCUUCCUGGACCGACACUGACGCUGAGGCGCGAAAGCUAGGGGAGCAAACGGG